GACUCGGCCGGGCUUAAAGGGCCAGGGCCAGGGAUAGACUGUAUCACAAGGGUGUUGGGGACCCAGGGGGGAGGGGCCCGCCACGCACCCAAAACUUUCAUCAUGUGCCCGGCUACGAUUAAGUUGUUUAAACAAAUGUAUUGCAAUGGUAGAAAAAAAAAUUGUGUUUGAAAACUGUAGGUACUAUGGGUACUUGUAAUUUUUUUUUUUAAAAGGGGGUACUUUUAAAAAAAGGGGGGAGUAACACUAGCCUAUAAAACCAGCAUCAACCAUGUUCUCAUUUUAGUUGAAGCACCUGUCCUUGCUUAUGCCAUUUAGACAUCAUUUAAUGCCACUGUGAAGAUUCCUAAGGAUACUCAGGAUUACAAGGCCUCAUUCAUCACCUAUCCUUAACAUGAGGAAGUCUUGUCUGUACUUACUGUGGAUCUGAUCCCUGAAACCACCAGUUUGUGGCAACACAAACACAGCCUUCCAGACCACCACUGGCCUCUGUACAAGUACUCCAGGAUUAUAGAGAAUGGAACCUCAGACUUAGGAACAAUGAAGUGAACAUGAGUAGAAGCAUUUCCACUUUUGAAGUGCCAAGUAUAUGAGACUGUCACCACUGGAUGUCAUUGGAUUCUUUGGAUAGAAAAUUGGCCGAGUGCACUUGAUUGUAAUCAGAGACUACAGUUUUGUACACACUUCAUCAUUGAAGCUUUACAAACCAUCUGAUCAUUUGAUCUCAUUACUGCUUCCUAGUAAAACGAUGUUGAAUAAAUAAACUUCAGGGACAUGGAUUCGUGUUUCAUUUUGUUUAACUGACUCUGACAGUUUCAAAUAGACAUUUUUUAUUUUCAACUCAGAGGUUGAACAGAACUGCUAAUAAAUGCCUGAACAAAUCCUUCACGAGUUUUGACAGUACCUUUUAGCCUCUAAAUGACCCAGAGAUCUCUCACUUGCCAGUGCAACUCUGUAUAGCAGAUGGUGUAGAGUGUUUUCUCUAAGCUGAAAGAAAAUUGGGUUACUCACUGAUAGCGGACUUCUCCAUGCAAUCACAUUCACUGAGCAUAGUGCUCAGUUGGAGAGUCAUUAACAUUUAAAAUACAAAAUGCAGAUUUGGGGGAUUUCUAAAUGCAUUUACCAGCACAUUUUCUAUCACACCUGAUGGUAGAGCACUCUUCAGUAGCUGUUUACCUGCUUGCUAUGAGAAACUAUUGACAUGAAACUUUGCCUUAUUUGUUUCUUACUGUUUUUUAACACAAAAUCACUUAAAUUUGUAGCUUGAAUUCAUAUUAAAAAAGUAUCCUUGUAAAGCAGUAUCAGACUUAGGUGAACACAGUUGUACUCUAUUGUUAUUGUGAGUUUCAAGGCCCCCCCCCCCCCUUUUUUUUUAAAAUCGAGGCAAGAGCCACCUAGAAAAUGUUGAAUUCUGAUCUGGAUCCUGGUCAGCCCGCAGUACUAGUAUUUAGUGCUAUAUUUCAGGCUCUCAAAAAAAAAAAAGCUGUACAAAUGCUAAUUAAGAUGUUCAUGACAGAUUAGUACUCCCUGUGCCUUAGAUGGCUCGAUCCUGAUUUUUUGCUAAGCUAUUUUUGUUGAUCACUUGAAUUCUAGUGGAUAAGGGUUAAAUGCUUUCUUCUUCUGGUCCUAUAAAACCAGUCUUGUAACAUUGUCUGAGAUGUAGCCACAGUAAGAUUUUUUUCAUAACUAUGAUCAGGGUAUAUUGAUUUUAAAUCAAUUUAAAUCACAAAAAAAUGACUUAAACCAAGUUUCCCACUGCUACUACUUCACAUUUCUUCAAAUAGUGGUGCAAAUCUUGUCAUUAAAACAUGUUAAUUUAGAGCUCAGUAUAGCAUUUUUACAACAACUAAGGGGAUAUGCUGUGUGUAUUUUUUUUGUAGAUAACUUGAUUUUUAUUAAUUUAGGAAAUCUGUAUA